UGGCUCUCGCAUCGAUGAAGAACGCAGCGAAAUGCGAUAAGUAAUGUGAAUUGCAGAAUUCAGUGAAUCAUCGAAUCUUUGAACGCACCUUGCGCUCCUUGGUAUUCCGAGGAGCAUGCCUGUUUGAGUGUCUUGAAGUCAUCAACCGCCCCCGUUUGAAAAACCGGGUGGUGGGUUGGAUCUGGGGGUUUGCCGCUGCAAAGCGGCUCCCUUCAAAUGCAUCGGUUGGACCUGCGGGUCGUACUCGACUGGGCGUUGUAACAUCCUCGCUCUACCGAGAAGUUCCCCUCUGGCGUCCUCCCACGACUCGCCUCUGGAGUGGCGGUCAACUUGCUUUGAAAUCUGACCUCAAAUCAGGUAGGACUACCCGCUGA
rnacentral:misc_RNA from 1 species